GCAAUGGAGGAAACUCUGACCCAGCAACGCCGCGUGAAGGAUGAAGGUCUUCGGAUUGUAAACUUCUGUUCUAAGGGACGAAACAAAUGACUGUACCUUAGUAAGAAGCCCCGGCAAACUACGUGCCAGCAGCCGCGGUGAUACGUAGGGGGCAAGCGUUGUCCGGAAUGACUGGGCGUAAAGGGAGUGUAGGCGGUUUUUUAAGUUAGAUGUGAAAUCCUGGGGCUUAACUCCAGAACUGCAUUUAAUACUGGAAGACUUGAGUGUGGGAGAGGUAAGUGGAAUUCCUAGUGUAGCGGUGGAAUGCAUAGAUAUUAGGAGGAACAUCAGUGGCGAAGGCGACUUACUGGAACAUAACUGACGCUGAGGCUCGAAAGCGUGGGGAGCAAACAGGAUUAGAUACCCUGGUAGUCCACGCCCUAAACGAUGGAUACUAGAUGUAGGCGGUAUCGACUCCGCCUGUAUCGUAGCUAACGCAAUAAGUAUCCCGCCUGAGUAGUACGGCCGCAAGGUUGAAACUUAAAGAAAUUGACGGGGACCCGCACAAGCAGAGGAGCAUGACGUUUAAUUCGAUGCAACGCGAAAAACCUUACCAAGGCUUGACAUCCGCAGAACACCUGAGAAAUCAGAAUGGUAUAGCAAUAUACUGCGAGACAGGUGGUGCAUGGUUGUCGUCAGCUCGUGUCGUGAGAUGUUCGGUUAAGUCCGGUAACGAGCGCAACCCUUGUCACUAGUUGCCAAUAUUUAGUUAGGAACUCUAGUGAGACUGCCGUGGAUAACACGGAGGAAGGUGGGGAUGACGUCAAAUCAUCAUGCCCCUUACGCCUUGGGCUACACUCGUGCUACAAUGGCAGUUACAAAGAGAUGCAAUAUCGUAAGGUGGAGCAAAUCUCAAAAAGGCUGUCCCAGUUCGGAUUGAGGGCUGCAACCCGCCCUCAUGAAGCUGAAUUUGCUAGUAAUCCCGAAUCAGCAUGUCGGGGUGAAUGCGUUCCCGGGUCUUGUACACACCGCCUGUCAAGCCAUGAGAGUUGAGAGCACCCAAAACCGUUUGCCUAACCCGCAAGGGAGGGCG
rnacentral:rRNA from 1 species